GCAAUACCUGCCCAGUGCGAAAUAUUACUGUAAACGGCCGCCCUAGCGUGAGGGUGCUAAGGUAGCGAAAUUCCUUGCCUUUUGAUUGUAGGCCUGCAUGAAUGGUUUAACGAGGGUUUAACUGUCUCUAAAUUUUUUAUUGAAAUUGUACUGAAGGUGAAGAUACCUUCAUUUAAAAGUUAGACAAAAAGACCCCGUGCAACUUUGAAAAUUAACUUUAUUCAGAAGUAAAAGAUUUUUAGGUGGGGCGCCUAGAAAGUAAGUCUAACCUUUCUGAAUAAUUAGCUCUUUCCGGAUUCGACCCGAUUAUAUUCGAUCAUAGGAGAAGUUACGCCGGGGAUAACAGGCUAAUCCUUUAGUAGAGCUCGUAUUGGCUAAAGGGAUUGGCACCUCGAUGUUGAAUCAGGGAUGAUAGCUUCAAGGCGUAGAGGCUU
rnacentral:rRNA from 1 species